ACAUAACUUUUAUACAUUCUUUACAUAUUACAUAUACUACUCGAGUUUUAUGAUACGCUGUCAUCUAUUCACUGUAUUACCUGUGUAUAUGUCCGUAACAUACGUGCGUGCACCUUUCUAACUACUGCACAAUAUAGUUUCCACUUCUAUAUGUUCAUUCAUUUAUGCAUCACAUUCAUGUACCACACACACGAUACCGGAAAAGCAACUUUUCCCAA
rnacentral:lncRNA from 1 species